rnacentral:rRNA from 1 species
CUGACAGCGUACCUUUGUAUAAUGGGUCAGCGACUUAAUUUAACGAGCAAGCUUAAGCCGAUAGGUGUAGGCGCAGCGAAAGCGAGUCUGAAUAGGGCGUCAAGUUCGUUGGAUUAGACCCGAAACCGAGUGAUCUAGCCAUGGCCAGGUUGAAGGUGCGGUAACACGCACUGGAGGACCGAACCCACGCCUGUUGAAAAAGUCG